UACGAAGGGGGCUAGCGUUGCUCGGAAUCACUGGGCUUAAAGGGCGCGUAGGCGGGUGCUCAAGUCCGGGGUGAAAUCCUCCAGCUCAACUGGAGAACUGCCUCGGAUACUGGGCGUCUCGAGUGUGGUAGGGGUAUGCGGAACUAUCGGUGGAGCGGUGAAAUGCGUUGAUAUCGAUAGGAACUCCGGUGGCGAAGGCGGCAUACUGGACCACUACUGACGCUGAUGCGCGAAAGCCAGGGGAGCAAACGGG
rnacentral:rRNA from 1 species